rnacentral:rRNA from 1 species
GUGGGGAAUAUUGGACAAUGGGCGAAAGCCUGAUCCAGCCAUGCCGCGUGUGUGAAGAAGGUCUUCGGAUUGUAAAGCACUUUAAGUUGGGAGGAAGGGCAGUAAGUUAAUACCUUGCUGUUUUGACGUUACCAACAGAAUAAGCACCGGCUAACUUCGUGCCAGCAGCCGCGGUAAUACGAAGGGUGCAAGCGUUAAUCGGAAUUACUGGGCGUAAAGCGCGCGUAGGUGGUUCAGCAAGUUGAAGGUGAAAUCCCCGGGCUCAACCUGGGAACUGCCUCAAAAACUACUGAGCUAGAGUACGGUAGAGGGUAGUAGAAUUUCCUGUGUAGCGGUGAAAUGCGUAGAUAUAGGAAGGAACACCAGUGGCGAAGGCGACUACCUGGACUGAUACUGACACUGAGGUGCGAAAGCGUGGGGAGCAAACAGGAUUAGAAACCCGGGUAGUCC